rnacentral:rRNA from 1 species
UACGUAGGGGGCAAGCGUUGUCCGGAUUUAUUGGGCGUAAAGAGCGUGUAGGCGGCCUGACAAGUCUGCUGUGAAAACUCGAGGCUCAACCUCGAGAUGUCGGCGGAAACUGUCUGGCUAGAGUCCGGAAGAGGAGAGCGGAAUUCCUGGUGUAGCGGUGAAAUGCGCAGAUAUCAGGAAGAACACCUAUGGCGAAGGCAGCUCUCUGGGACGGUACUGACGCUGAGGAGCGAAAGCAUGGGGAGCGAACAGG